UCCUUCUUGUCAAUCCAGCAAGCUUUUGAAAUUAUUAAACUUGUAAAGCUGUCAGGUAGAAAAUUAUAAAACUAGUGAGUUUGAAGUUAAAUUGAAGAACCAAUACCUGAAGAUGACAGGAACAAAUUAAAGGUGUAGCAGUAGGAGGGCGAGGAUUUGGCGGGAAUGGAGAAGGUUGAGGCGAGCGAGUAGCCAGAGCUAGAGUGGGAGUAAUAAGAGUACGUGAAAAAAAAGAAGACAGUCGUAUCGGCACGUCCCUGGCGUUCACUCGUGCUUCAGUGCACUCGUGUCGGUGGGCUCGUACUACGGUAGACAAGUUCGUCAGACUCGACGCUGCUGAGUCUAGUGAAGUAUAUGGAGUGUACGCUCUAUGUGAGUCAUUUUACGCUAGUGAGUGUUGCUGUUAGUAUUAGCCUUAGUUUUAUUAGUCACUACUCUACUGAAACUGAACUAAUACAUAAUCCCAAGCUUUAUAAUUAUACCCAGGUCGGCUUUCAACUUUAACUAAUUAGUUUUUAGUAAACUUUAAUUACUAAAUUAUCAUUACCAUUUACUGUUGAUGAUGUUGUGUCUCCUGUAUCAGCUUAACCAGGUCAAACGGUUAAAGAGUUUUGUUUACUGGUGACGGCUUUUUUAUUUAUUUGUGACUGUUUUGUGAUUUAAUUUUUACUUGGAAUACUUGUUGAACGGAUUAGUAAUACAGUCAUCAUGGUGAGUAAUUUUUUUUAUCUAUU